GAAUUCGCCCUUAGAGUUUGAUCCUGGCUCAGGAUGAACGCUGGCGGCGUGCUUAACACAUGCAAGUCGAACAGAGCUUAGAGAGCUUGCUUUUUAAGCUUAGUGGCGAACGGGUGAGUAACGCGUGAGUAACCUGCCCUAGAGUGGGGGACAACAGUUGGAAACGACUGCUAAUACCGCAUAAGCCCACGGUACCGCAUGGUACUGAGGGAAAAGGAUUUAUUCGCUUUAGGAUGGACUCGCGUCCAAUUAGCUAGUUGGUGAGGUAACGGCCCACCAAGGCGACGAUUGGUAGCCGGACUGAGAGGUUGAACGGCCACAUUGGGACUGAGACACGGCCCAGACUCCUACGGGAGGCAGCAGUGGGGGAUAUUGCACAAUGGGGGAAACCCUGAUGCAGCGACGCCGCGUGGAGGAAGAAGGUUUUCGGAUUGUAAACUCCUGUCGUUAGGGACGAUAAUGACGGUACCUAACAAGAAAGCACCGGCUAACUACGUGCCAGCAGCCGCGGUAAAACGUAGGGCGCAAGCGUUGUCCGGAAUUACUGGGUGUAAAGGGAGCGCAGGCGGGAAGACAAGUUGGAAGUGAAAACCAUGGGCUCAACCCAUGAAUUGCUUUCAAAACUGUUUUUCUUGAGUAGUGCAGAGGUAGAUGGAAUUCCCGGUGUAGCGGUGGAAUGCGUAGAUAUCGGGAGGAACACCAGUGGCGAAGGCGGUCUACUGGGCACCAACUGACGCUGAGGCUCGAAAGCAUGGGUAGCAAACAGGAUUAGAUACCCUGGUAGUCCAUGCCGUAAACGAUGAUUACUAGGUGUUGGGGGAUUGACCCCCUCAGUGCCGCAGUUAACACAAUAAGUAAUCCACCUGGGGAGUACGACCGCAAGGUUGAAACUCAAAGGAAUUGACGGGGGCCCGCACAAGCAGUGGAGUAUGUGGUUUAAUUCGAAGCAACGCGAAGAACCUUACCAGGUCUUGACAUCCGAUGCAUAACACAGAGAUGUGUGAAAUCCUUCGGGACAUCGAGACAGGUGGUGCAUGGUUGUCGUUAGCUCGUGUCGUGAGAUGUUGGGUUAAGUCCCGCAACGAGCGCAACCCUUAUCUUUAGUAGCCAGCGGUUAAGCCGGGCACUCUAGAGAGACUGCCAGGGAUAACCUGGAGGAAGGCGGGGAUGACGUCAAAUCAUCAUGCCCCUUAUGACUUGGGCUACACACGUGCUACAAUGGCGUAAACAAAGGGAAGCAAAGCUGUGAAGCCGAGCAAAUCUCAAAAAUAACGCCUCAGUUCGGACUGUAGUCUGCAACCCGACUACACGAAGCUGGAAUCGCUAGUAAUCGCAGAUCAGAAUGCUGCGGUGAAUACGUUCCCGGGUCUUGCACUCACCGCCCGUCA
rnacentral:rRNA from 1 species